rnacentral:rRNA from 1 species
AGCGAACGCUGGCGGCAGGCUUAACACAUGCAAGUCGAGCGGGCGUAGCAAUACGUCAGCGGCAGACGGGUGAGUAACGCGUGGGAACAUACCUUUUGGUUCGGAACAACACAGGGAAACUUGUGCUAAUACCGGAUAAGCCCUUACGGGGAAAGAUUUAUCGCCGAAAGAUUGGCCCGCGUCUGAUUAGCUAGUUGGUGAAGUAACGGCUCACCAAGGCGACGAUCAGUAGCNGGUCUGAGAGGAUGAUCAGCCACAUUGGGACUGAGACACGGCCCAAACUCCUACGGGAGGCAGCAGUGGGGAAUCUUGCGCAAUGGCCGAAAGGCUGACGCAGCGACGCCGCGUGUGGGAUGAAGCAUUUCGGUGUGUAAACCACUGUUGCCCGGGACGAAACCGCCUUUUCGAGGGCGUUGACGGUACCGGGUGAGGAAGCACCGGCUAACUCCGUGCCAGC